rnacentral:lncRNA from 1 species
UGAACGACUGCGGCCCGUUCGAAUAAUUUGACUGUUCUUAACCAAUUAAAUUAUUUAGGAAGUCAAAACAUGCAAAGUGAAACACAUGCAUAAUACUAAUCCCAUAUGGCCUCAACCCUUUGAGCAUAAAUAAAACACCUUUUAUUUAUCACCAUAUCGAUUACUCAUUAUUUGUUGUUUCGGUUAAUCAACUUCUUACUUGAAUUACAACACUUGUCCCAUGCUCCUAGCAUGCACACAAUGUUUACCUAUGGUUCUUACUUUGUGAAAUAGACCAAAUUGAACACAUUUCCAAUCAUUCUCAUUUCACAACUCCAAAUUCUUUUCCAUAAGUGAAAGAAUAUCAAAUUCUUGCUACUUAUAGAAUAUGCUAGAUUCUAACAUUCUAUGCAAUUAUCCUUUCGUAAUGUCACUGCACCAAAGUCACAAAGACUAUUGCCAAUAAAAUUACAAAGUCCUCUAUUGGAAAUUGUUACAAGACAACUCCUUAGAUAUGAUGUCUCUCAUUCAAAGUACAUUCCUUUGAACAUCCUUUUGCAUAAAAGUUUCUAAUCUAGACAUAGAUUUUCAAUAUUCAUAUUUUCCAAUUUUAUACCUCCAACUACUCACAAGCGACCAAUCCUCGGCGAACUUUGGAUUGUCCUUUGAUAGUUGUUUACUUAUUUUAGUCAAAAGAUCGNNNNNNNNNNNNNNNNNNNNNNNNNNNNNNNNNNNNNNAUUCUAGUCCCUUUUCCCUCUAAAUGCGCUCGACAUUUGGAAAAUUUUAGAAUGGUCAAACAUUAAAGCAUUUGCAAUCGAUCCUAUACCCGAAGCGUAUGGGACACGACUCCAUAAUAUUUCAUUUGCUAUGUUCUCAAAUUUUGAAUUAUGAAGAGGAAUGCCGCAAUCAUAAUCGAGAUUUAAGAACACACUAUGUACCUUUGACUAAAUUUAUUAACAUUCCACAACCUAAGCCUUUAGAUUUGAAAUGAAGCAUAAUAUUCUCUCCCUUAAUUAUAGCAAAACAACUUUACAACCCUUACGACUUUGCAAGGUAUAACUCUUGUUUUCUAUAAUUAAUAUUGCCAACUUGCAAUACUUUCCUUAAUAAUCAUACAAUCAUAACAUUUAUGCUCCCACUAUCAUGAUGAUUAUUAUAAAACAUAACACUUAUGCUCCCACUAGCUUCGACAUGUAUUCAUAAACAUCUUAACUUUCAGAAAAACAAUACUUAUUGAAUUUCUUAAGUUCAUGUUUCUAAUACUUAGUGCUUUGAUAAUCCUUUAUCAAGGCUUCUUGAACUUAUACACCUUUGCCUUCGAUAGUUCAUAUGUGUGUCUAAACAAUUAAGACUAAUUGCCAAACCUCACAAUUCAAAUUAUGGAAAGGGAUACCGUAACCAUAAUCGAAUUCGAGAAUGCAAUUUUACAAUCACUAUCUUCUUAAAAUCUUUCUUAGUGAAAGCAUUUCCUCACAAUCAUUUUCAUGAAGGAGGAAAUCUUAUGACACUUAGAUUUAAACGGUGUAUGUGUUCCUAUCCAUGUGAAUUUGUUAAAACCAAAGUUUACGACAAAUUCAAACUCAUAUGGACCGAACUUUCUUAAUCUUGAUUUCUUGCCUUAUGGUAGCACAGCUGCCCACCAUGUCUUCCAAGUAGUUAAGCAGCUCACCCUUUCCUAUCAAUGUACCUUUCAUUGAUUAAGGUGCUUUGCCUUUUAUGCGUUCAAAAUGAGAACUCAUAGAACUCACAUGCAUAAUUAACUCGAUUGGAUUGGCACAGAAACAAAAUAAUGUCAACACGAUAGGUUGUAAACCUCAACUCGUGUGCUAGUGAUGAUCGAUAAGGUUUAUUUGAUUUGUUCUUGAAACCUUUCAAGACCAUUAAGACUCCCACUGACUCCUUGACAUAUAAGAUUCUCUUGUCAAUAAACAUUUCUUGACAAACAAAUAUUCAAGAGUUAGUGUAGUUUUUAUCAAAACACUUCAUAAAUUGGUCCUAGUUGGUCUUUGUCUUAUCCAAGACAUCACAACUUUCCACAUUUGAUGAAUGUUAUAAACCUUCUUAAUACUUUUCACUCAAUGUCACAAUCUUAACUCUAAGACUUGUUUUGGAACGAAGUAUGAUUGACUUCUUGAUUUAACCAUUUCUUCAAUUCUUGAUUCCUCUUCUUAGACAUACAAUUGUACUAAGACUCACUUAGAGGAUCAAUUGAGAUAUGGUUCUUAAUCAUUAAGACCUAUCAUAAAGCAUAAAAGGUACUCUCCCUUCUUCUUAGAAUGGAGAAACUUUUAUCUUUCUGCCUACUUGAUUCUUCUUAUUCGUUCUGCUAUUGAUUUAAACUUUUUCAAUCAAUUCAGAAUUACACUUAAUCUUGUAAGUAUAAUCAUAUUUACUAAACCUUUAGUAAAUCAUGACGAAUAUCUUUGUUACUCUUAUGGUGGACUUGAUCAACACGCAACUUUGUGUACUCGAUCUCCUAGUCCUUCACUUGACACUUUGUCAAUGAAUUAGUCUAAUUUCCAAAUAUGAAAUUUCUCAUUCAUCGUGCAACCAAGUUGCAUGAUUCCAAGUUUCUGUCCAAUUGAAACUUGGGCGAUGAGAAACUCUCCCUAUUUGGUAAAUUCUCGACUUUCCAUAAAUAACAUAAUAAGAACCAAAUCCAUUAUUGCUAAUAAUAGAAACAUUCAAACAUCAAUUUUUCAUAUACGCCAUUGCAAGGAUAAAUAAAUAAUAUAAAAUCAAAAUUUAUUUUAUUGCGGAAAAAAUUUGUCCUUACAAUGCAAUUCAUUGAAAAACUAUGCUAAUACAUCUUUCUUAGCAAUCUAAUUCUAACUCUAAGUAGUAGCUCAAGAAUCUAAUCUUCGAGAAAUGCGAUCGAAAUCCAUUCCUUCACGGUUAGAUUCUGCUCACUUCUUCCCUUAAGCUUCCUUUCUUUUCUUCGAUCCUACAAAACAUCAAUUGUAAUCUUAUCACAUUAUGUAUUAAGAAUCUAGAAUAGAAGCUUAAAAGAGUUAGUUAAUGGAUUUUACCUAUAUUAGAGCCAUACGUUUCGACUCUCCCAUCUCUUAGAUCUCUUAGGUAAAUGGGGCAGCUUCGUCUCCAAUGCCCUUUCUCUUGGCAAUAAAAGCAAAUUGACUCUUUUGGAACAUGACAUGGAACUACUUCAGACAUUGCCUUUCUCUUAUGAUCAAACUUUUCGAUCAUAGCAUGUCUUUCGUUGCCAUUGUCUAUAUCCAUAGAGGUCUUGAAGGCAGAUUCACCAAUCAACUUUGCUUUUCUAUUGCGCCAAACCAUUGCUGAUUCAGCAGCAAUAAGCAUAUAGGUGAGAUCUAUAAGGGUCACGUCGCGGUUCAUCAUAUAGUACUCUCUUACGAACUCACUAUAUGAGUUAGGAAGUGACUGAAGAACCCAAUCAACAGCCAUUUCCUCACAGACAACGGAUCCCAACAUUCUUAACCUAUCAAUGUGUGACUUCAUCCCUAGGACGUGUGCACACACCGACUUUCCUUCUUUAUGUUUACUUGCCAAAAGGGCUUGAGUGAUCUUGAACUUUUCAAGCCUUUGAACUUGUGGGUUAGGGAGAAUAAUUGGAGGAGGAGGAGGAAGUGAAGCAUGAUUUCUUGUUCCUCGAUCGAAUCGUGGAAUAUCAUCUUCAUGUGGAAUGCUUGUUCCACGGGAUUUGGGAAGACCAUAGUUGUCGAACUUUGACAUCUACAAAACGGGAGAAAACGAAUUCAAGUUAGUUGAUUGAUUGAGUCCUUAGUAAAUCACCCAAAUGAGAUACUAAGGCUAGGACCCAACACAAUAUUCUACAACUCGGGAGAGGGAUGCCGUAACCCUAAUUGCAGAAUAUUUGAAGGUAAGUGAAUGACGAUUCACUAAUUUCCACCAUGAAAAACGAAAAAGAAAUUUAAGUUUUAAAUCUAUGAAAACUCCUAGAUCCUUUGAGAUUCAUUGAACUUUCAAUGGCAUGUUUAAAUCUCGAUAUGCCCCUCUUGUUUGUGACUGGGAUGCCGAGGAUCACAAAGCGGGUGUGAAUAACCAUGCAAACUUACAUGGUGCCCUCACAUGUUACAGUCACCUAUUCGAUGUGCCGGUAAACCACACACGCUCCACCGAACUAUGACAAACAUUGAGUCACCCUUUGCUACCUUUGCUUAGAACCAUUUAGUGUGCCGGUAAACCACACACGCUCCACUAACGUCUUCGCAAGGGCACAAAGUGUAAUUUCAUGGAAUUGCAUCAAUUCACUUUUGCCUAAGUAACUAAGAUUGGGAAUUUUAUGAAAACAUUUAGUUACUUUAAUAAUUCAUUAUACUUAUAAUGGAAGGUUUCGUCCUAUCCUACCCGUUCGGCUAACGACCCUCCACUAGUCAAGAGUGCGGUGGGUAAGAGUGGAUACCCAUUCAAUCGCCAUUUUAUAGGCAAUUUCCUUAAACACCCCUUAUAGACCAGCUUCGUGAAUGAGGCCUACUAACGGUAAGACUGACUUUUACUCAUACAUAUAUAUAAUGUUAGACUUUUAAUGUUAUAUAUAGUAUAGGGUGUAUUUUACACUUUUAAAAUACUAGGUGGUCUAAUUUAACAAUUAUACUUUUAAUUCAAUUAAAUUGUAAACCUAAACUUUUAUGGAUUUAUUAAACCUCUUUUAAUUAUACACCUUAAUUAAUUAAUAAAACCAUAAGGGUGUGAUUUGAACUUUUUCAAAACAAUACUAGGGUUUUAGAAUUUAACAUUCCUAAUUAAACUUUUAAUCAACUUUUAAAUUCCAAAACUUGAGGGCAAGUUUUGAAACAUUUCAAAACAUUAGGGUUUAGAAUUUAAAUAUACAUCAAAAUUAAACUAUUAAUCAAAAUUUAAAUUCCAAAACUUGAGGGCAAGUUUUGAAACCUUUUUCAAAACAUUAGGGUUUCAACUAUUUAAAUUUCAAAACAACAAAACUUUUGGGUUCAAAUUUAAACUAUAAAACCUAAAGGGGAAAAUAUGAAACUUUUCAAAGCACAAGGAUCAAAUAACAAAUAAUCUAAAUUAACAUUUAAUCACAUAAUUAUCCAUAUUUGAUUUAUUUAAUGAUUUCUUGCAAAACAAUUUACCAAUUUAAUCAAAAUAAUUAAUCAAUUAUCACAUAAGGAAACAAAUAUUUUAUUAAUUGAUAAAUAUCUUCAAUUAGAUCAAGAAUAUAGUCAAAUAUAUCAUAAAAUCGGAUUUAUAUUGAUCUAAUAUGAUAAGGCAAGUAUCCUCAAGCAAAAACAGCAAGAAAUCCCGGUUUUCCCUCUCACUGACCAGCCGACUCGUCGAGUCAGGCAUGGACUCGUCGAGUUCAUCAUGAACUCGGCGAGUUCAUCUAAAAAACUCGACGAGUUCUGACCCCAGAAGCACAAAAAACGAAUUUUUUCAACAUACAAAGCAUCAAUACAAUAGAAACCAAUCUAGGCUCUGAUACCACUGAUGGGUUUUGGUCCUAAGAACAUCCUAUGUGCUCAUACAAACCCUAAUGCUUGGAUCUAGGUUUCUCUAUUGUACAUGCAAGUUAUCCAAGACUAUAAACCCUAAUUCUAGCAUUCAAGUAAUCAUAUUAACAUGAGAAUAGGUUUAAGAUGUUACCUUGAUUGUUAUGUAGCAAUAACAAUCCCAAAUCUCCUUGUAUUGACUUUAGAAAGCUUAGAGUCACAAAUGUCACUCCUCUAAUGGUUCACAAACACCAUAAGCAAGAGGAUGAAGAGGAGAGAGGAUGGAGGUUGCCCAAAAACGUGUGAAACCCUAGAACAAAGCUUAGCCACGUUUUUGGUCCUUAAGGGGUCUAUAUAUAGUGAGGCUAUUAGGGUUAUCUAACAAGGAAACCCUAAUUUGGAUGCUUAAGCCCUAAGUAACCCAUGGAUCCCUUUCCUUAAGGCCUUGGACGAUUUCCUUAUGGGCUUCCCCAUAGAAUUCGCCCACUCCUUAUUUUAAGGCAAUCCAUGGCCCAAAUUGCAAUUAUCUUAUAAUUACAAUUCCAGUCGCUUAAGUUUAAUUAAUCUCUUUUAGUCACAAAACUAAUUACCAAUUAAUUCUUGAAUAAUAUUAAUUAAACAAUAUGAUUUCUCCUUUAAUAUAUUAUUCUCAUAAUAUAUUAAUAAAUCAUAUUUAAUCCUUUCUCUCCAUAAUUCAUCCUAUCAAGUUGCUUUGGUGAAGGCAACCCAAAAGGACCAUGCACCAUCGGGUCAAGUACAUACCAAAAUAGUUAUGGACUUAGACACUAAUCCAACAUUUAUAUCCACCACGAGGGAUGCUUGCCGCUUCUACGUGACUUUUAUGGAUGAUUAUAGUAGAUAUGGAUAUAUCUACCUAAUCAAGCAAAAGUCGGAAACCUUUGAAAAGUUCAAAGAGUUUAAGAAUGAAGUGGAGAAUUAGAUGGGCAGUAAAAUCAAGAUGCUUCGGUCAGACCGAGGAGGAGAGUACCUAAGUCUUGAGUUUCACGACUAUCUAAAAGAAUGCGGAAUUGUAUCGCAAUUGACACCUCCGAGAACACCACAAUUGAAUGGUGUGGCUGGGAGAUGUAAUCGAACCUUGUUAGACAUGGUUCGUUCUAUGAUGAGUUGGACUUCGUUACCAAUAUCUUUUUCGGGGUAUGCCUUAGAGACUGCCGCCCACAUCCUAAACUUAGUUCCCACCAAGAAGGUUACCAAGACUCCUUACAAGAUGUGGACAUGGAAAGCUCCCUCGUUAUCACAUAUUAAGGUUUGGGUUUGCGAGGCUUUCGUAAGACGAGAGACUCACAACAAUCUCGAACCUCGUAGUGAGAAGUGUUAUUUCAUCGGCUAUCCAUAGAAGUCUUUUGGCUAUCUUUUCUAUAGACCGAAUGACAAUGUUGUCUUUGUUUCUAGAAGAGGAGUGUUCCGAGAGAGGGAAAUGAUAAGCCAAGAAGACAGUGGGAGGCAAAUUGAUCUUGAAGAGAUUCAAGGACAAAGCGAUGAAGGAACCUCUAACACUGACGCUCAACCCGAGGAGGAAACUCUUGUUGAACCCGUUGACGAGUCCUUACCUCUUAGAUGUUCUAAUAGGGUUAGUGUUGAACCCCAGUUUUAUGGUUUUCAUAUUACUACUGAAGGGGAUACGUUUAUUAGUGAUGUAACACUAAUGAAUUUGGACAAACCUAGCAGCUACAAAGAAGCCUUGGCAAGCCCAGAGUCUGCUAAAUGGAAAGAGGCAAUGGAUAGCGAGAUUCAGUCCAUGUACGACAAUCAAGUUUGGAACUUGGUUGAUAAUGUACCAGGUCGUAAGAAAAUCAGGUGCAAGUGGAUCUUCAAGAAGAAGACGGACAUGGAUGGGAAUGUGCACACUUAUAAAGCGUGAUUCCUUGCGAAGGGCUUUACUCAAACUCCCGGAGUUGAUUAUGAUGAGACCUUCUCACCAGUUGUGAAGAUAAAGUCUAUUAGGGUAAUGCUUGAAAUAGCUGCGUUUCAUGAUUAUGAAAUCUGGCAGAUGGACGUGAAAACCGCUUUCCUUAAAGGGAAGUUGACUGAGGAUGUGUAUAUGAAUCAUCCAGAGGGUUUUGUCGAUGCGAAACAUCCAAAUAGAGUGUGUAAGCUUGAGAAAUCCAUUUAUGGAUUGAAACAAGCGUCUAGCAGAUGGAAUCUUUGUUUUGACGAGAUCCUUCAGGAGCUUGGCUUUCUGUGAAGCGAAGAUGAAUCUUGUGUAUCUGUCAAAGCCAGUGGGAGUAUAGUGGGCUUCCUCGUAUUGUAUGUUGAUGACAUACUACUCAUAGGACACGAUGUCCCAACCUUGCAGGAGGUCAAGUCUUGGCUUGGGAAAUGUUUCGUUGUGAAGGACCUCGGAGAGGCUGCUUAUAUUCUGGGAAUAAGGAUGAUCAGAAUAAGGUAAAGCUUGAUAGAUAAGUUUUGUACUCUAUUAAUUUCUCAGUCCCUCUAGUCGGGUGGGCACCGGUCGGUCAUUCGACCAGAUCCCCCUAAACACCAUACGUGCGGGUCUUCCCGCAUGCGGCUCACACUAUUCGAGGUGGCCCAGCCCAGCAUUCAUUCUAAAAUCCUGUAGUGAAAUUGGGACUGCAAUAUCGCGUGAGUGAAGAAGGGCAAUGCUGCAUGUAAAGGUCUUUCGUCAGAUCGGAUGGCAAAAGCGCAUAUAGAAUUGAUUGAUCUUUCUUCCUAGCCUAGUUCAAUGAUUCCAUUAUAUAAGGGAACUUCUUUACCAUGCCCUUGCCCGGCUGCUGGUUCAUUCAUUCAUUCCAUUCUAUCUUAAUUUAUUUCUAAAGGCGGUAAUCACAUAGCAAGGUUGCCAGGUCGUCUCUCAAUAACAGAAUUUCCUGAGGGUGAGUCUCCGCCCAUUGAGGAGUCUCUUUUUUAUUCUGUUUCGACAGCUUUUUCUAUUUUCGUUUUUGGUGUCCCACCUAUAAAGAUUGAUUUUCUAGUUGAUGGAUAUUGACCACUAGUGGCACACUCGAUAGAUUCCUCAUCUAUACCUUUUGAUGGGAAAAGAAGUCUCGAGCUCCAGUUGAAUCCGGAAAAUAAGGUUAGGGAGUCACACUAAAGGCGGAGCAAGAAGCCCCUAACACGGUCAAGUCUUGCGCGGAACAAUUGGAUACAUCAGUUGAAGAUGCCCCAUCAAUAGCAAGAAGAGAAAGAGCAUACUCGUCUGUCUAGAAAGCAACCUUGCCCGCGUCGAAGACAAGUCUGGCAUUGGAUGUCUAUAGUGCUUAAACAAGUCUGUCAUCGGUGGGAAAAUAGUGAGCUCAAUCUGUCUCUGUUGGCGCUCAUGUUGGCAAAUCCAUAUUGUAAACCCGAGAGAUAAAGAUCUCCAGUGCAUUUGAAAAUGGUGAUGUAGCUGCUGAAGCUUUCUUUGUGGCGGUCGUAGCAGUAUAGUAUAUAAGAAAUCUCCUUCUUAGAUAUAUGAACCGAAUGUCGGGGCAGUCUGGACUAGAUUGAUUAGAAGUCAAGUAAUUGAAACUUGAACAAGUAAGGGGACAUGGAAUGCCUUCUUUAUCACUCUCGCCUCUGAAGCCAGCGUCCAAGUCCCUACAUUCAUCGGAUGGGGCUCACUCAUUAACAACUAGGCCUCCGUCACAUUCUGUUUCUGAAUCAGGUUAGGAUACGACUCUAGAAGCUUCUGAUUUCUUGUCUCAUGAGAGGCCGUAUAAAAUGCUUUGAAAAAAGAAAUCUUUCUGUGAGAUUCCAAGUAUUCUAGAGUUCCUUCUCGCGUUAAUUGCAAAUUCUUAGUCAUUGAGGUUCAUGGGCGAUUCGGAUGUUUAUUUAGGUUUGGAACCCUAUAUUUUUUCCCCUUUCAAAUAAAUAGAAAUGAUAGGAUUUCUCAAGACCAAUGGGUGAAAUAGCACCCUCCGAUGAAAGAGACCAUCUCAUAAGCACUACGAAGGAAGGCAGGGAAGACCGAAUCACUAUCUCCGUGCAAGCAGACCUUCAAAGGACUUCGGCUAACCUGUGAAUGAAAGAGAGAGGCACAGGCAGAAGUCAAGACCUUGGUCAAGAUAUAUACUUGGACAACGUACUAAACCGUUUUAGUAUGGAAAAUUCCAAGAAAGGGGAUUUGCCAAUCCAAAGCAAUACCAAGUUGAGUAAGACUCAAAGCCCGAGUACAGAGGCAUAGAUAGCUGAUAUGAGCCGAGUACCUUACGCUUCCGCAGUAGGCUCUAUCAUGUACACUAUGACUUGUACUCGCCCUGAUGUGGCCUUCGCUUUGAGCAUGGUCAGCAGAUAUCAGGGGAACCCAGGAAAAGCUCAUUGGAUUGCGGUAAAGAAUAUUCUUAAGUACCUACGAAGGAACAAGGAAUGGUUUCUAGUCCUCGGUGGGAGUGAUGAGUUGAGGGUACAAAAGUACAGUGACACUAGUUUUCAGACAGAUCGGGAUAGUUACCAAUCACAUUCAGGUUGGGUCUUUACCCUAAAUGGAGGAGCAGUGAAUUGGAAAAGUUCCAAGCAGGAGACUGUAGCUGAUUCAAUGUGCGAAUCAGAGUACAUUGCGGCAAGCGAAGCGUCGAAGGAGGCUAUAUGGUUGAAGAACAUCAUUAGAGACCUUGGAGUUAUGCCAUUCAUAAAGGAGCUAAUGGAAAUUUUAUGUGAUAAUGAAGGAGCGGUUGCCAUAACCAAGGAACCAAGAGAUCAUGGAAGAUCUCGACAUAUCAACAUAAAAUACCAUCUUAUCAGACAUCGGGUAGAAGAGGGACUCCUCGCUGUGAAGAAGAUAUCAUCAGAAGAAAAUCCAGCAGAUCCCCUUACGAAGGGACUGAGUAGGGUUAAACACUUGCAGUACGCUAGGAGCAUUGGGCUAAAGGAUGAUAUAAGUUUGGAUUAGAUAGGAAACAUGUAAUAGAUAGUUUGUACUUGACAUUUGAUGGAUAAAUAAAGUUGUGUUAUUUAUAAGUAAAGUUACUAUCUUGUGUUAGUUAUUUAUCUAUUGUUUCCAUUUUGCAUGUUUUAACUUCCUGAAUAAUAAGAUUAUUCAAACGGUCCACAGUCGUUCAUGUUUUGGAAGUAGAUGUGAAUGAAGACUAUCAUGAAUUGUUUGUAGAUUGUCUAAAAGGUUUUGGUCAUAGCAAGGGUUUGCUCCAAAGUUCAUGAGUGCUUAUGAAUUUUAUUUCAGCAUUGGAAUAAACCCGCGUUUGCUGGUAUCACUUCGUGGUGUUGUACCUAAAGUGAUCGCAAUGCGAUAAUAUCAUAUAGUCUUAAAACUUAAAAAAUGGUUGUUGUUUGCUGGUUAGUUAUGCAUUGAUGAUGUGUAAACGCAUCAAUAACUUGAUGUUAUAAAACACAUUUUUGUGCAUGACUAAAUUAGUAAAUAAUAGAUGCAUAUGAGUCAAAGUUAAUUUGUUCCUUUUACUCUAUGAGAAUAAAAGUGAUAUCUUGGCCACUUGAUGAUUUGAUUUGACUUAUGUCUCGGGCCCGGUCAGAAUGAGGUUGAUGUGUUCAACUGAAUUCUAUGUCAAACAAAUUAGAGAUCAAGAAACAAGUGUUGGACAAUAAGUAUUGUCAGCAUGAUAUCUAGAACAGAGGAUUAUAUGAUCCCUUAUCUGAAGGACAAGUAGCUGAUCAGAGUUGACAGCGAAGUAAAAGAGCUACGAUUGCUAAUCGGAUUCUGAAGUCAUAUGUGAGAUAUAGUUACUAGACUUAUCCAAGUGGGAGACUGUUGGAAUGGUGUCUAACCCCGUAAAUAUAUUUGGUAUGUACUUGACCUGGUUCUGCAUGGUUCUUUUGGGUUGCCUUCACCAAAGCAACUUGACAAGGUAAUUUAAGGAGAAAGAAAGAAUAUUAUGGUUUAUUAAUAUAUUAUAAGAAUAAUAUAUUAAAGUAGAAAUCAUACUUGUUUAAUUAGUAUUGGUCAUAAAUUAAUUAGGAAUUAAUUUGGUGACUAAAAGAGAUUAAUUAAAUAAAAGGGUAUAAACUGUCAAAUGUAUGAUAGUUAAGUUUUGGGCUAAGGAAGCCUUAUGGACUUAAGGGGGAACGAAAAUAUGAUGGGGAUCCAUCAUAAUUUUGUCCAAGGCCUUAUUCCAGAAGGUUCCUUGGGCUGCUUGGUGGUUAAGUUGUCCAUUAGGGUUUAGACUGAAACCCUAGUAGCCUACAAGUAUAAAUAAGACUCCUAGGCUAUGGAAAUCGGCUACACUUGAUUCCAAGAGAACCCUAGGGCUGAUUUCUAGCAUCUCUCACCCUCUCUCAUAUUUCCUUCUUGCUUGUGGGGUUUGUGAACCAUUAGAGGAGUUACAAUUGUGACUCUAAGCUCAAGAUCAAGAAGAUUACAAGGAUUUCAAGCUACUUGAAAGAGGUAAAAGACUUGGAUCUAUUUUCUUUAUGAUAAUUUCGAAUUAUAUAUGAUAGAUCUAGGUUUGUAAGUCUUGGAUUCAAAGCAUGUAUAAUCGAGAAACCUAGAUCCAAGCAUUAGGGUUUGUAUGAGCACAUAGGAUUGUUUCUUAUGCAUAAAACGCAUCAUAAAGAACAUUGUUAAGUACCUACGGAGGAAUAAGGAAUGGGUCCUUACCCUCGGUGGGAGUGAUGACUUAAGAAUGACAGGGUAUAGUGAUGUCAGCUUUCAGACCGACAAAGAUAAUUUCCACUCUCAGUCGGGCUGGGUAUUUACCAUGAAUAUAGGAGCAAUAACUUGGAAAAGUUCCAAAUAGGAAACUAUAGUUGAUUCAACAUGUGAAUCAGAGUACAUAGCAGCAAGAGAAGCGUCGAAGGAGGAAAUAUGGCUGAAGAACUUCGUUGGAGACCUUGGAGUUGUACCGGUUGUAAAGGAGCCUACGGAGAUUUUCUGUGAUAGCGAGAGUGCGGUCGCCUUAACUAAGGAACCAAGGGAUCGUGGUAGAUCCAAGCACAUCGACAUAAAAUAUCACUUCAUAAGACAUCGGAUAGAAGGACUCCUCGUAGUAAAGAGGGUAUCGUCAGAGGAGAACCCAACAAAUCCCCUUACAAAGGGACUGAGUAGGGUUAAGCACUUGCAGUAUGCGAGGAGCAUUGGGCUGUAGGACGAUAUUAGUUUUAAUGAUUAGAUAGCUAUUUAGAAACGUGUAAUAGAUAAAAUGUAAUUGAAAUUUGAUGAUUAAAUAAAAGGAGUUUUAUUCAUGAUCAAAGUUACUAUCUUGUGUCAAUUGUUUACUAUUGUUUCAUUUUGCAUGUUUUGACUUCCAAAAUAAUAAGCUUAUUCAAACUAUCCACAGUCAAUCAUACUUUGGAAGUAGGUAUUGAGGCAAGACUGUCAUGAAUUUGGCUUGUAAAUUGUCUAAAGUGUUUAGACAUAGAAAAAGUUUGCUACAACAUUCAUGAGUGCUCCUGAAAUAACAUUUGAGUAUUCGAAUAAACCCACGCUCACAUGAAUCACUUCAUGAAAUUUGUCACGAGUGAUUGUGAGAUGAUAAUAUCAUAUAGUCUUCAAACCAAGAUGUAUGAGUUGUUGAUUAUGAGCUGGUUAUACAUUGAUAGUGCGAAAAUGCAUCAGAAACUUGAUGUUAUAAAAAGUGCUAUUGUGUAUGAUUUAACGAUUAGUUAGUACAAGCAUAUAAGUCGAAGUUUAUCUGUUCCUUUUAUCCUUGGAGGAGUAAAAGCAAUAUCUUGGGCCCCUCAAUGAUUUUGUUUUGACUUAUGUGUUGGGCCCGAUCAGGACUCAAUUGAUGUGUUCAAUUAAGUUCUAUGCCAAACAAAUUGGAAAUCGGGAAACAAAUUGUUGGACAAUAAGUAUGACUAUGUUCCAUGUAUUUGUUCGCAUGAUAUCUUAAAGAACAAAGGAUUAUAUGAUACCUUAUCUAAAUUGCGUGUCAAAGUUCGACAGCUGCUUUUACGAGCUACGAUUAUUAGUUGGUUUUUUAAGUCGUACUUGCGGUUAUAGUUAUUAGACUUAUCCAAGUGGGAGACUAUUGGAUUAGGUGUUUAAGACCAUAACUAUAAUUAGUAUGUACUUGACACCGAGAGUAGCAUGUUCCUUUUAGGUUGCAUUCACCAGAACAAUCUGAUAGGAUGGAUGUUUGAGAAAGAGGUUAUUUAUGAUUUACUAAUAUAUUAUAAGUAUAAUAUAUUAAUUGAGAAAUCAUAUUAAUUAAUUAGUAUUGAUCAAUAAUUAAUUUGGAAUUAAUUUAGUGAUCAAUAGAGACUAAUUAAAUUAAUGUGGACUGAUUAUAUAAAUUAGUGAUAUAUAUGGUUUGGGUUAUUGAUCUAUGAUGGUUUAAGUUUAUGUGAGAGUCCAUGAAGAGUUAGUCCAUAUGAGUUAUGGAUCAUAAGCCUUAGUGUAUGAAUUAGGGUUACAUAUGACUCUUGGAAUUGUAACACUAUAUAUGUAACCCCUUAGAGCCCAAAAUCGGGUGCACAUGUAAUAUAGCAACAAUAUAGUUGAUUUUAGGGUGUUCCUAACCUCUCUCUAAAGUCCUCCAAUUGUUGGUAGUGUUUUGUGAAGCAUUUGAGGCAUCACACUUGAGGUGCUAAGCUCUUAAAGGCCAUGUAAUAUAGGCUACGUAAAGAGGUAAUCAUCUAACUAGUUUUUUAUGAUUCAUAUAUGAAGUUGUAUGCCGGAUAGGCUUCACGCUUUGGAAAAAUGAAAUUUGCAUGUAUAACUAGAGAAAACUUAGAUCCAAAGCAUUAGGGUUGUAUGUGCACCAUAGGGAUGUUAUAGUGUUCAAAACCCAUCACCUUCCACCCUUAGCCCCCAUCGCCUCCAAAGUGCCUUAGACAAAACCCUAGCCUCUUUUCAAGUUUUGUGUUCAUCCUUGGUGUUUUUGUGAUCUUGGAAGGAAGAAGAAUGAGUCUCUAGUGAUUGAAUCCAACAAGCAAGUCACAUCCAUCCUUUUUUGCAUCUUCCGUAAUAGUUUUGAGUCCUCAAUUUCCAAUUUAUUAUGAUUCCUCUCUUGUAGAUCUAACUUUCUUACAAUGUUUUAGUCUAUAUAUGAAGUUUGAGUGAUGAAUUGAGAUAAACUUUGCAACUUUAUGGCUCACAUGGUCGUUUGGUCACUAUAUUUGAAGGAUGUAGAAGUUGAAUGGGUUUUGAGAUCCAUGCAUGGAUUUUAGCUUCUUUUCUCAUAAUUUUGACCUAGUUGGGGUGAAGGACAUGUAUGGGUCAUGCAUGUCCAUAAUGUUCAUAUUUUUCUGAACCCUUAAUGUCCUAAGAAGAAUGAUGGCAAGUUAGAGUUGGAGGCUUGACGAAUUGAGAGCUUAAUCCAUUAAGUUGUCUCUAUGCACUUCCCGUGACAUGGCGACUUGCUUGCCAAAACAUGGAGGAUGGUCUGGUCGCGACUAUUUUGUGUAGAAUUUGCAAUGACAUGGUGGCAUUCCUACCACAACGUGGUAGUGGAUUUUGAUUGGGAUCAAGUUGGAUGGCCAUGACGUGGCCAUUUUUUGGUCACGACGUGGAGGUCAGCUAGACCUGACCUUGCUCGUUGACUUUUGAUUUGGUUAACUUUUAUUAAUAUUUCUAUUUUUAGUAGGUAUAUUAAGCAUUUACCUUGUAUGAUUCAUUAGGAGGUGUGUAGCACUCGCUUUGCUACUGUGUGAGUCUAUUAGCUCUCAAUUAUUGUGACAACUAGAAAAUUUUAGGUUUAACCAAGUCUAAGGGGUCUUGGGUAUAAGUAUACCCACAAUGUAUAUCUAUGUAACUUUGAUGCAAUAAUGUUUAUUGAAAGCCAAGAGGGCACUUUUCGUUUGUAUGAUUAAAGACAAUAUACACUUGGAAAUUCACGUUGAAAUAAACCUUGAAACAUAAAUGCAAAUCAAACAAGAAUCAAAACGUUUUAACAAAAAAACAUGUAUUUAUGCCAUGACUUUGAAUUCUCGAUUUGCAAGGCCAUCAUCUUUGUGAUUUCUAUUACUCAAGACCAAAAACACAUCCACGGGAACACUACAAGACCGAAAUCUCUAGAUUAUGGCCCAUUAAGGCCGAAAACUCUUCAAUAUUAGACCGAAAUCAUUGGUUUGUAACACUUUAGGACCAAAAUCAUUAGAUAGGAAUGUAUACCAAGGGAUUUCGGUCAUGCCUAGACUGAAAUCACCUUCUUUAUGGCCGAAAACUCAAGGUUGAUUCAUCCUAGAGUGAUUCCAGUGGUAUACAAAGGAUAAGUUUUGACUAUAAGAUGCGAUAUCCCACCCUAUUUCCCAUGCAAACUCUGCAGUAUCCCAAGCAAUUAACCACCAAAUAUCCAUGAAUUACCCACCAGAUUACCAAGUAAACUUCACAUCAUUUCCUUCCCCAUCUUAAUGCCAAAACCAUUCCCUUAAACACCACCAAUUCCGUUUCACUUACUGUAAAAACUCCAUUAUCUCUCAAGAAGUCAAUAUCCAAGCUUGAAAGGGAUUUGGAUCUUCAAGAACUAUUCUUAGAUUUUGGUAAGUAAUUUCAAGGUUUCUUAAGCAUUCUAUACACUCUUAUGUUAAAUUCAUCCUAUUUACACAAAUUAAAAUGUGUUGAAAACCUUUAGGAUAACAUUACUCUCAAAGAAGAUUAUUAACUCCAUCCAAGUGUUUAGGCUUGGAAACUUCUCAACAUCUCUUCAAAUCAACCCACAAGACCACUGAAGGUGAGUUCAUACCCCACUCUUUUUCAAGAUUUUACAUUUUUUUUUGGGGGAGGGGGGAUUCAAGUAAAACCAUAUUAUAACAAAAAUGUUGUUAUAAGUGUUCAUCUAUAUGUUGUGUAUAAGGUUUAUUUGCAUGCUAUGUGAUUUUACUAGUUAUUUCAAGCUUUCAUGCACAAUAUGCUUAUUUUAUAGUAUAAAAUUUUAUAAGAACAAGUUUAAACAUAUUACAUGAACAAAUGGGAAAAUUAUAACUUUUAUUAUAAAAGUAAAUUUUCUAGUAAGAAUGUGUCUUGAACAAGAUUGGUCAUAGUUAUUUUAUGACGAUAUCCUCAUGGGUUUUAACCAAAACAUUUGUAUUCUAAACCUAUUAUCUUGUAUAAUAAAAUAUAUAAAUGAGUUUACAUACAUUGACACUAUAACUUUUUCUGUUAAACGAUAAUGGGUAUAGUUUGUGGUUCUUUUAAACUACUUCUCAGUUUUUCAGACAUGUUACAGAUAAUUAUUUCAAACUAUAAUUAUGACACUCUAUAUAACUACUAUGGAAGGGAAACGCUUCCUGUAACGCCCCAAUCUAAAAGUAUUUAUUUAUGGAUUCCUGAAAUCAAGAGUAAGGGCAUUUUAGUCUUUUAAGGGCAAUUCGUUUCAUUUGAGAAGGUUUCGGACCGGGGUGUGUUGCUAGAAGCGUAGGGCUUCUCGCCAAAUUUACGUGGAUAUAAAGUUCGUCGGGAACAGACUUAGGAUAAAGGAGAUAUUGUAAUUUGAAGUUAUUGGCAUCAAUGGUCCCUAAGGGAAAAAGUUGGCAAAGAUGUCCCAUGCAUGAUAAGUAUGCAUGCACAUGUUCAUGGGUUUUGGUCCUAAGAACAUCCUAUGUGCUCAUAGAAACCCUAAUGCUUGGAUCUAGGUUUCUCUAUUGUACAUGCAAGUUAUCCAAGACUAUAAACCCUAAUUCUAGCAUACAAGUAAUCAUAUUAACAUGAGAAUAGGUUUAUAAUAUUACCUUGAUUUUUAUGUAGCAAUAACAAUCCCAAAUCUUCUUGUAUUGACUUUGGAAGGCUUAGAGUCACAAGUGUCACUCCUCUAAUGGUUCACAAACACCAUAAGCAAGAGGAUGAAGAGGAGAGAGGUUAGAGGCUGCCCAAAAAACGUGUGAAAACCUAGAAGGCUGCUUGUCCACGUUUUUGGUCUUAAGGGGUCUAUAUAUAGUGAGGCAAUUAGGGUUAUCUAACAAGGAAACCCUAAUUUGGUUGCUUAAGCCCUAAGCAACCCAUGGAGCCCUUUCCUUAAAGCCUUGGAUGAUUUCAUAUGGGCUUCCCCCAUAGAAUUCGUCCACCUUAUAAUAAAAGGCAAUCCAUGGCCCAAAUUGCAAUUAUCUUAUAAUUACAAUUCCAGUCCCUUAAGUUUAAUUAAUCUCUUUUAGUCACAAAACUAAUUACCAAUUAAUUAUUGACUAAUAUUAAUUAAACAAUAUGAUUUCUCCUUUAAUAUAUUAUUCUCAUAAUAUAUUAAUAAAUCAUAUUUAAUCCUUUCUCUCCAUAAUUCAUCCUAUCAAGUUGCUUUGGUGAAGGCAACCCAAAAGGACCAUGCACCAUCGGGUCAAGUACAUACCAAAAUAGUUAUGGACUUAGACACUAAUCCAACAGUCUCCCACUUGGAUAAGUCUAAUAACUAUUAUGCGUAUGACUUCAGAUCCUGAUCUGCAAUCGUAGCUUUCCAAAGCCGCUGUCAACUCUGAUCCUAUCAGAUACGCGUGUCCUUAGAUAAGGGAUCAUAUAUUCCUCCAUUCUAGAUAUCAUAUGAGAUAUGAUUUCAAAUCAUUCUCUUUGUACUAUAUCUCGAUUUCCGAUUUAUGACGACUGACUAAUUGAACAAAUCAAAUUAGCCCUAGCCCGGCCGAGCAUUUACGUUUGUCAUCACUAAAUCAUCGAGGGGCCCAAAGAUAUCGCUUUUAUCCUACUUUGGAUAAAAGGAACGGAUAAACUUUGAUACAAUGCUUGCUUGCACUCACUCACCGAAUCACACACAACAAUAUGUUUUAUAACACCAAGUUACUAGUGCGUUUACAUAUUAUCAAUGUGCAACCGAUUUGCAAGAUACAACUCACACAUCUCGGUUUCAAGAAUAUAAGAUGUUAUCGUCUCACCAAUCACUCGUGAUACAAUUCAUGGAGUGAUCCAAGUGAGCGUGGGUUUAAUCCAAUGCUCAAAUCAUAUUCAUAAGCACUCAUGAACGUUGCAGCAAACAUUUGCUUAUGUCUAAUACUCUUUUAGACAAUCCACACACCAAUUCACGACAGUCUUCAUUCAUAUCUACUUCCAACAUAUGAACGACUGUGGCCCGUUUGAAUAAUUCGAUUAUUCUUAAUAAACUCAAUUAUUCUGGAAGUCAAAACAUGCAAAUGUGAAACACAAGAAUAAUACUAAUCCCAUAUGGCCUCAAACCUUUGAGUAUAAAUAAAACACCUUUUAUUUAUCACCAUAUUGAUUACUCAUUAUUUGUCGUUUCGGGUAAUCAACUUCUUACUUGAAUUCCAACACUUGUCCCAUGCUCCUAGCAUGCACACAAUGUUUACCUAUGGUUCUUACUUUGUGAAAUAGAUCACAUUGAACACAUUUCCAAUCCUUCUCAUUUCAC